UGGGCCAUCAUUGAAAGAUUACCCUUGUAGUGAGUCCAAUCAAGGUAUGGAUAAUAUAUGGUUUUAGUUCAUGGUAAAUGAUACCUUUUAUUGUGGAUCACCCCUAGACCAAAGACCUAGUACCUAUUGUUGUAAGUUCGUAUUGAUUUCACUAAUUGUAAUAGAAAACAGACUCAAGAUCAAGCUGGGGGAGAUUGUUACCACAAUUCCAACUAUUGAUAAAACCUUUGGUGAAGCCAACCAAAGACAUAAUGAAAGUUCGUCGCAUUAAAUAUGCUUGGCAUAAGUUUUUUCUUGAGGCUAGGUACAACAUUGGUGCAAUUAUCUUGCUCCAGGCACCUGUAGUCUUGGUAUGUCUCAUUGUCCUUCAAUAAUUUAAUAUAUCGAGAUUUCUUUCCCAUCAUCAUUUACAUUUUUCUUCUUAAUCGAUACUUGGAAGUUAAUAUAAUCAUUUACUCUGUUUUACAAUCUUUAAAAUCUUUAUAUGUAAAUCUGUGCCCAUAUGCAUUGUUGGAGAAACUAAAAAAAUUACUCAUUCUCAGAUUGCAUUGUGGAAUAUGCAUCUAUUAUUCAAAGAAAGGGCGACAUUCUAAGCACUCACACUCUCUCCUUGCUAGCUAAAUUGGUGAGUCUUCUUUCCUUCAUACUAUAUGAUUCAUUGAUGAAGUGGCCUGACC